UUAGAGCCCUCCCCUUAUCAAUUUCAGGCAAGAAACAAUCCUUUUUUUCUGCAUACCAAAAAAACAAGCCAACUCAUGGAAAAAUCUGUGUGACUUCAAUUACAUAAAAUUGACUGGAUGAUUGAAAAGUAAUAUUUUGAACGAUUUUUUUUAAUUUUAAAUAAGCGUACUUGUAUGUUUGUUUUUAUUACAUUCUGAGACAGAUCAAGAGGAUGUGAAAUUGUUUUCAAACACAAAGAAGCUACCUCCUAACAACUUUUUCUUGAUUGCCUCUUCUGCCUUCUCCCAGUUUUAUCCUCUUCCUCGUGCUGAAGAUUGAAUUCAAGGCCUCACCCAUGCUCUACCACUGACCUACAUCCCCAGUCUUUGUCUUUUGAUAUCAGCUACGCUAAUAGGACACGAACUUGAAUAGAAAAGUGUGAAGAUUGAGAAUCUUUAUCUUGGACCAGACCUUACAAGAAAAGGUUUCAGUUAUUCACCAGUGAUUAUGAUCUUAGCUGUGGGCUUUCCAUAAACAGU